GCCUAACCCAGCAAGAGUUCAGUGAACACUGGCCCCGUGAAUAAACUCUGACACUCGAGAAAUGUCACCUGUAGGGUUGCUGUAAGAUGAAACGAGACAAUAUUUGAGAAAUGCUGAGCGGGGCACCCUGUGUGGAAUAAGUACUUAAUCACUCCUGGCUAUCAUCCCAUGGGUUACUGUAUCAUGAAGACACUGGGAAGGCCCUGGAAAGCUGCACGUGGAGGAAGAGCAGAAGUGGGAGCAUCUUCAGGCUGAACAUGGCCUUGUCUUCA